rnacentral:rRNA from 1 species
GACGAACGCUGGCGGCGUGCUUAACACAUGCAAGUCGAACGGAAAGGCCCUGCUUUUGUGGGGUGCUCGAGUGGCGAACGGGUGAGUAACACGUGAGUAACCUGCCCUUGACUUUGGGAUAACUUCAGGAAACUGGGGCUAAUACCGGAUAGGAGCUCCUGCUGCAUGGUGGGGGUUGGAAAGUUUCGGCGGUUGGGGAUGGACUCGCGGCUUAUCAGCUUGUUGGUGGGGUAGUGGCUUACCAAGGCUUUGACGGGUAGCCGGCCUGAGAGGGUGACCGGCCACAUUGGGACUGAGAUACGGCCCAGACUCCUACGGGAGGCAGCAGUGGGGAAUAUGGCACAAUGGGCGGAAGCCUGAUGCAGCAACGCCGCGUGCGGGAUGACGGCCUUCGGGUUGUAAACCGCUUUCGCCUGUGACGAAGCGUGAGUGACGGUAAUGGGUAAAGAAGCACCGGCUAACUACGUGCCAGCCGCCGCCGUAA